GCGGACGUGGUGAAACUGGAAAACACGCAGGCUUCAGGAGCCUGUGCCGAAAGGUUUGUGGGUUCAAAUCCCACCGUCCGCA
rnacentral:tRNA from 1 species